AUAGUAAUGUAGGGGAGCUCAAACAUGAGCUGAGAGACCGAAUUGUAGGAAUACCCUUAGAACCUGAUAUGGUAAAACCAUCGUAGGGAACAUGUACAAAUGCCUC
rfam:Lysinibacillus sp. BF-4 contig00018, whole genome shotgun sequence.